rnacentral:lncRNA from 1 species
GAAAUUCAGAGUUUGUGCAACAUACAUGAACCAUGAUUGUGUCUCUGUCUCGUUUAGGUGAAUGGGUCCUUGUUUUCAUCCGCUGUCACCGAGAGCCUUUGACUUUGGGUCCAACAGGAAUUCUGUCAGAAUACGACGAUGUGACACGAUGAGGACAGUACAGGAGUUCAGCAGAAAUAUUAAGACAUGGACGGCGGUGUUUGCUGUGUUGCUCCUCAGCUCAUUUGUCUCCAACAGGCUCCAUCAGAUCAACUGACAGCUGCUGCCUUUCCAGGUACGGAAACAUUCAGAGUCACUCACACGUUGGUGCCAAACGGAGGUCGCUGACGUCAAGCCCGCGAUGUUAAGGUCACUUGACAGUCAUGUGAGGAUUGUCAGAGUAACAUGAACUGAAGUGUAAAUUGGUGCAAAAGUGCCUUCGAAGGCCUGUCAGCAUGACAUUGUAACCGGCUGAACAAAUGGCUCCUGGUCCCCAGCUGGUAAAAACUGGCACUGGAAAAAAGAG